rnacentral:rRNA from 1 species
AGCGUUAUCCGGAUUUAUUGGGUUUAAAGGGUGCGUAGGCGGUUUGAUAAGUUAGAGGUGAAAUUUCGGGGCUCAACCCUGAACGUGCCUCUAAUACUGUUGAGCUAGAGAGUAGUUGCGGUAGGCGGAAUGUAUGGUGUAGCGGUGAAAUGCUUAGAGAUCAUACAGAACACCGAUUGCGAAGGCAGCUUACCAAACUAUAUCUGACGUUGAGGCACGAAAGCGUGGGGAGCAAACAGGAUUAGAUACCCUGGUAGUCCACGCAGUAAACGAUGAUAACUCGUUGUCGGCGAUACACAGUCGGUGACUAAGCGAAAGCGAUAAGUUAUCCACCUGGGGAGUACGUUCGCAAGAAUGAAACUCAAAGGAAUUGACGGGGGCCCGCACAAGCGGAGGAACAUGUGGUUUAAUUCGAUGAUACGCGAGGAACCUUACCCGGGCUUGAAAGUUACUGACGAUUCUGGAAACAGGAUUUCCCUUCGGGGCAGGAAACUAGGUGCUGCAUGGUUGUCGUCAGCUCGUGCCGUGAGGUGUCGGGUUAAGUCCCAUAACGAGCGCAACCCCUACCGUUAGUUGCCAUCAGGUGAAGCUGGGCACUCUGGCGGGACUGCCGGUGUAAGCCGAGAGGAAGGUGGGGAUGACGUCAAAUCAGCACGGCCCUUACGUCCGGGGCUACACACGUGUUACAAUGGUAGGUACAGAGGGCAGCUACCCAGCGAUGGGAUGCGAAUCUCGAAAGCCUAUCUCAGUUCGGAUUGGAGGCUGAAACCCGCCUCCAUGAAGUUGGAUUCGCUAGUAAUCGCGCAUCAGCCAUGGCGCGGUGAAUACGUUCCCGGGCCUUGUACACACCGCCCGUCAAGCCAUGGGAGCCGGGGGUGCCUGAAGUUCGUGACCGCAAGGAGCGACCUAGGGCAAAACUGGUGACUGGGGCUAAGUCGUAACAAGGUAGCCGUACCGGAAGGUGCGGCUG